AAGUGGAGGGAGGAGUAAGUACACUCUCCCCCCACCCUUAAAGCAGAACCCCCUACCUUCGAGCCUCCCCUUCCUAAUUCCGUGCACAUCCCUAACAUUGAUUGCCAGAAACAUCAGUCUGGCAAGCCAUGCCCCUGCAUGGCAACACAUAACAUCAGAUCGUUGGGUCCUCAAAAUAGUGUCUUCAGGUUAUGCUGUGGAGUUCAGGAAGAGACCAUUCUUCAUGGGUGUACGCUUCACAGGGGCAACACCAGCACUACUGGAAGAGGUAAAGGAGUUGUUAGCAAAAGGGGCUAUAUAGUCCCUGUGUGAUGGACUCAAAGGUGGGAAGGAUUUUACUCCCACUACUUCCAGAUCCCCAAAUGGGAAGGAGGAAUAUGUUCAAUAAUUGACUUAAGAUUUAAAACCCUGAACAGCUUUGGUCUGAGUUAUCUUAGAGAGUGCCUUCUUUUGCAUGAUCUCCACCGCACGUUAAGGUAAUCUGAGGAUCCAUCUCCAGUUACCACUGGUUCGUCUGGUGGCAACUCAGAGGCGGGCCUUCUUUGUAGUUGCUCGUGGGCUAUGGAAUGCACUCCCAGUAGAAAUCCGUAAUUUGAGUUCAUUACUGUCUUUCAGGAAAGCCCUUAAAACCUGUCUGUUUGGCCUGGCCUUCCAGGGUUUUUAAACUGUUGUAAACUGUUUUAAAUUGUUUUAAAUGUUUUCCCUGGUUUUCCGGGUUUUUAACUGUUUGAAUGUUUAAUUGGUUUUAUUCAUUAUUUAUUUAUUUUAUUUAUUCGAUUUCUAUACCGCCCUUCCAAAAAUGGCUUAGGGCGGUUUACACAGAGAAAUAAUACAUAAAUAAGAUGGAUCCCUGUCCCCCAAGAGGUUCACAAUCUAAAGAGGAACACAAGAUAGACACCAGCAACAGUCACUGGAGGUACUGUGCUGGGGGUGGAUGGGGCCAGUUACUCUCCCCCUGCUAAAUAAAGAGAAUCACCACAUUAAAAGGUGCCUCUUUGCCAAGUUAGCAGUUUUGAUUUUAAUUAACUGGUUUUAAUUGGUUUUAUUCUGUUGUAAACUGCCCUGAGCCAUUUUGAAAGGGCAGUAUAUAAAUCGAAUAAAUAAAAUAAAUUAAGAUGCCUGAACAAGUUCAUCUGUGUGAGGAAGUAUCGAAUGACAGUGUUGCACGGCAUUUUACCUCUCCUACAUCAGGAAUGGUGGCUGGCAACCCUCGACCUGAAAGAUGCUUGCUUUCACACUGGAAUUUGGGAAACGGACAGGAAAUUCCUGAGUUUCACUGUAGGCAACUCCAUUUAUCAGUACAAGGUACUGCCGUUUGGCCUUGGCACGGCACCAUGCGUCUUUACAAAGUGCGUGGCUGUGAUAGUGGCCCACCUAAGGGCCAGGGGGCUAUCUUCCUGUACCUGGAUGACUGGCUUCUAGUGUCCAGGGACAAAAAUGGGUUACUUUCUCAAAUAUCAUAUCUGUUGCACCUUCUCCAGCAGCUGGGCAUAGAAGUAAACUCAAAAAAAUCUCACCUAGACUUGGUGAAGUACAUAGUCUAUAUAGGGGCUGUGAAGGAAUGAGGCCGAGAUCUCUUGGGUUUUUGUAAAUAAGCCCCUGUAUUGUAUCAUGUAUUAAUAUUCCCAAACCUCUUCUUGUAAAUAGGUCCUGAUAAAUUGUAUUGUAUUAUAUUCCCAAAACUUCAUUAUUGUAAAUAGGAUUUUGUGGUUACAAAUCUCUGUGUAUGGAGAAGGCUGGCAAGGUCAAAAGUUCAUUCUUGUUUCACUUUGGGUUUAGCAUUUUGACAGUUGGUUUUUGGAGGGAAAUGAGAUUUUUUUUUAAAGGGGGGGAUUUUUUGUUCUGAUUGGCUGGGCUGAGGAACUGAUGGGCAGAGAGACUGCAUAUAUUGGGAGUGUUUAGAGAGGGAAGAGAGAGUCCUGGAAGUGAAGUCAACAGAGUCCAGAGAGAGAGACAGUCCCGAGAGACAGAGGCCUGGAAAAUAGUGAAGUCAAGAGUCUGUUGGAGAGAGGACUAAGGAGUCCAAAAGAGAGUCUCGGAAGGCAGAGAAGUUAGUCUGUUGGAGAGAUGACUAAGGAGUCAGAGAGAGUGAGUCCUGGAGAAGCCUAUUGGUUGAAGAAAGGCAGUCAAGAAAGGACCCAAGAGAGCUGAAGUCUGCAAGUGUCUUCUAGAGUCUGCUUUAGUCUUCUAGAGUUGCCUAGCCAGCAAGAAAUAGAAAGGACUGCGAGCUGAAAUCACUGAAAGAGAAAGAGAGCCAGGCUGGAUUGAGCCCCAGAUCUUCUGAACAAAGAAGUCUGCCCAACCAGAAGCUGAAAAGAAUUGACUCUGAAUAAGGACUUGUAUAGAGUCAGGCAGUGAUUAAGUUGCUACGGAUUUGUAGUUUUCCUGCCUUGUUCUAUAAGUACUGCUUUGUGUUGUAUUUUUCUGUAAAAGAAAUGUUUUAAUUUAUUUUUUUUAAAAAGUAAAACUUUCUUGUUAAACAUA